UGGACCUUUAGUAACAACUGGUGGUGUCUAAGUCAAGGAUGGUCAAUAACAUUGUUUGGACAGCUGAGGUCUAA
rnacentral:snoRNA from 1 species